UCCUACGGGUGGCAGCAGUAAGGAAUAUUGGUCAAUGGACGCAAGUCUGAACCAGCCAUGCCGCGUGGAGGAUGAAGGUCCUCUGGAUUGUAAACUUCUUUUAUCUGGGACGAAACACUUCUUUUCUAAGAGGCCUGACGGUACCAGAUGAAUAAGCACCGGCUAACUCCGUGCCAGCAGCCGCGGUAAUACGGAGGGUGCAAGCGUUAUCCGGAUUCACUGGGUUUAAAGGGUGCGUAGGUGGGUAUGUAAGUCAGUGGUGAAAUCCCCGAGCUUAACUUGGGAACUGCCGUUGAUACUAUAUAUCUUGAAUGCCGUAGAGGUAAGCGGAAUAUGUCAUGUAGCGGUGAAAUGCUUAGAUAUGACAUAGAACACCAAUUGCGAAGGCAGCUUACUAUGCGGUUAUUGACACUGAGGCACGAAAGCGUGGGUAGCAAACAGGAUUAGAUACCCCGGUAGUCAUC
rnacentral:rRNA from 1 species